rnacentral:rRNA from 1 species
AGUGAACGCUGGCGGUAGGCCUAACACAUGCAAGUCGAACGGCAGCACAGUAAGAGCUUGCUCUUACGGGUGGCGAGUGGCGUACGGGUGAGGAAUACAUCGGAAUCUACUUUUUCGUGGGGGAUAACGUAGGGAAACUUACGCUAAUACCGCAUACGACCUACGGGUGAAAGCAGGGGAUCUUCGGACCUUGCGCGAUUGAAUGAGCCGAUGUCGGAUUAGCUAGUUGGCGGGGUAAAGGCCCACCAAGGCGACGAUCCGUAGCUGGUCUGAGAGGAGGGUCGGCGACAUUGGAACUGAGACACGGUCAAGAGUCCUAAGGGAGGCCGCAGUGGGGAAUGUUAGACAAUGGGCGGAAGCCUGAUCCAGCCAUACCGCGUGGGUUAAGAAGGCCUUCGGGUUGUAAAGCCCUUUUGUUGGGAAAGAAAAGCAGCAGGUUAAUACCCCGCUGUUCUGACGGUAACCAAAGAAUAAGCACCGGCUAACUUCGUG